AAAAUGAAACCCUAAUCCUAUACCCAGCAGCCGCCACCUUUCUUUUUCCCCUCAGCAGCUGCAACCUCUCUUUCCCAAGCAGACACACACACACACAGCUUCCCCCACAACCCAGCAGCUGCGCAGCCCUAUCCUAGCCACAACACAGUUUUCUAUCUCUCUUUCCAUGAAUGGAAAGCAAUAGAAGCAGAAAGGGAGAGAUGGAGCAGAGUUGCGAUCCAGGGAGGGGAUGAGCCGCGCGGUCGUCGGUCAUCUCGGCGCCGUGCUCAGAUCGCGUCCAGUCCUCGUCGCCGCCGACCCGUGACGCUGCCUCCAGAAUCGCGCGAAGGACAGAGGGAGGAGAGAGAGAGAUCGAGGCGAGCCUUGAGGAAGUGAGCUGGGCGAAAAUGGAGAAGGAGAACGGCGUCGUCCCUUGCCGUGAUCAAAGCUUGCUGCCGCCGCGUUGCUCGGGACUUUCGCACCGCCACUGUCGCUGGGAAGACCGCCGCCGCUGUCCGAGAGGCCACCUCUGCUGCGAAUCAGGACUGAGGUGAGAAAGAGAGGACUGCGAAGGUGGGAAGUCGCUCUGCCCAAUCUCCGCCUGUGCUGCCAGACCCGCCGCGGUCAGCUGUCACAGGGUCGCCGUCAAGCCGUGUCGGAGGAGGAGCGCCGCCGCUGUGCCUCCAUCGUCACUGAGGACGCCGGUUGUCGCUGCCGCCAUCAGAAAAGGGCUCAGGUCGCCGCCGGUGUCGCUGCCGGAUAAGGGAGCUGCAUCUCUGUGAUUCUGACUGCUGGGGAUGGUCAUGUGACUUCCGGGAUCUCUGCCGGAGCUCCGGACUGAGCCUCUGUCGCUUGAGACCCUGCUGCUGUCGCCAGAAAAGGUUGUCGAUGUCGUGAUCAGAAUUUGUCGCCGCUGCCGCUUGAGGUGGCUGCCGGGCUGUUGCCGAGCCGGCCCGGGGAACGCCGCUGUUUCGGUUCAGCCGUCCUUUCUUAGUUUCGUGUUGCGAUGGUUAUUGCGAAAGUGGCUGGGAGCUGAGGUUUUGGU